rnacentral:rRNA from 1 species
CACGUAGGGUGCGAGCGUUGUCCGGAAUUAUUGGGCGUAAAGAGCUCGUAGGCGGUGUGUCGCGUCGGCCGUGAAAACCUGUGGCUUAACUAUGGGCUUGCGGUCGAUACGGGCAUCACUGGAGUUCGGCAGGGGAGACUGGAAUUCCUGGUGUAGCGGUGAAAUGCGCAGAUAUCAGGAGGAACACCGGUGGCGAAGGCGGGUCUCUGGGCCGAUACUGACGCUGAGGUGCGAAAGCGUGGGGAGCAAACAGG